CAUCUGUCAUCGUGAAUGGGGCCGUGCCGACGCGUCAGACGGGACGAACGGGGGAAGUCGGUCCAGAGUCACUGCGCCGCGCGGUUGUGUGAGCAAGCCGUGGGCUAGGUACCGCUCCAGGUCAGACAAUGGUUGGCACUGAAGAGUGCAGCGACACUACAGAGCUGUGAUUUGUGAACGAAGACGGUGAACGGCGAGAUGUGGUGACCGCUUGACUGACCUGUGCCCAAAGUCGUGAUCUACCGCUGGGGUCAGUGCGUGAGAAGCUGGACUCGGCACCAACGGAGGACGCAGCUCGACGAGGAAGAUAUGCUGUGUUGAGGGACGUCUGCCGGUUACGACCGGAAGGCUUCCGACGGGACUUGGCAGAACCCACAACAGCAGUAUGAACCCGGCGUGGAGUUAAUGCGUAAUUGCUCGCAUGAGCAACCGAAGAGCGACUUCCAGGCGAAGCUGCCGCAGAAUUCCUGGAGAUGCGUUGGGACAUUGAUCAUAGCAAGGUGGCUCUCAGCGGCAGCUGACCGCUGAGAUGUGUCUGAAACAGCCAGAAGGAAGACUCGAGUUGUGGAUCCAGGGCACUACUGAACGGAAGGCCGGACCAGCUGUAGGGAGACUACAGAAAAGCCGUCGUUCUCAAUCUGCUGAACAGACUCCUACUGCAGAG